GCGCUUGCUUUGGCGGCACAUAUGCUAAAACUGGAAUAAUACAGAAAAGAUUAGCAUGGCCCCUGCGCAUGGCUGACGUGCACAAAAAAAAAAAAAGAAGAAAAUAGUU
ensembl:snRNA U6 U6 spliceosomal RNA